UCAGGGUCUAGAAACUAGACUAUGGCCUGGAAGUCCAGGGUUCUAGACCGGAUUCAGUGGUCUGUUUUCCCGCGGGGACGUCCAACAGAUCCCUGCCCUCUGUGGACCUCGGUUUCCCCCAUUUGCCAGCCGAGGUCUUCCCACUGGGUGAGCAGAGACCUCCCAGCGCUCGUGUUCCUUAGAGGAGGCUAUCCAAAGGACGCCCACCCUGGGAACCCAGCCACCAUGUUGUGAGGAAGCACAAGCCGCACGGCGGAGGUGACAUGAGGUGACCUGGCCGGUAUCUUCAGCUCAGCUCAGCUUGGCUCUCGGGUAACAGCCGGCCUCAACCACCAGACAGUGGUGAACUGAGCCAAUUCCGGCCCCAGCCUUUGAGUCUUCCAACCAAGGUCCCAGAUGUGGAACAGAGACAAGCCAUCCUCACGGUGCCCCGUCUGAAUUUCUCUCCCACAAAAACUGGAAGAUAAGCAGUGAUCAUUGGUGUUUUAAGCCAGUUUUACGAAGAUCUUGAAACCUUCAGCUCUAAAACCUCAUCUGAGAUACUCUGCUUGUCCUGAGUCCCACUGGCUACUCUGAGACCCUGGUGUCUGUCUUGCAUGUUCCUUUAGAUCCUCGCUGUGCCUAUGGCACAUUUGGGGCAAAGGACUCUUGAGGAGGCUUGAAGCUUUGGUGUCUGGGGCUCAGCACCCCUAGGUAUACCAGUUAGCCGUCCGUCCCUUCAGGUCUUGCUGGAAAGAGAUGCAAGGCUCUACACUGCAGACGGGAAGAUCCUCUCUUGCUACUCUUACUGUGGCUCAGUGAUAGAGAACCCAGCAGCCAAGUGGGAAACACAGGUUCAAUCCCUGGGUGGAGAAGAUUCUCUGAAGAAGCAAAUGGCAACCCACUCCAGUAUUCUUGCCUGGAGAAUCCCAUGGACAGAGAAGCCUGGUGGACUACAAUCCAUGGAGUUGCAAAAACGUUGGACAAGACUUAGCGACUAAACAACAACAACACUUCGUCCAUUAAAUACAAAGGAAACACUGCAGUGGAACUGGAUGAUCAUUGAAUUGGUGAACAAUACUGACCCAUGGCGCGCUGCCUCUGGGGGGAUCAGGAUGAAGACAAGCUUCAGGUUGAAGACUGAGCAUCAUCUCCUUAAAACGCAGACUGUGCUGCCCAUCCUGGGAGUCUAAAAUAGAACCAUAAGCACAUUUGGAGUUAAGAAGGGGAGUGACCCUAGCUGGUCUUGGGAAAGACAAGAACAUCACCCAGUUAAUGGACUGGAGGUAAGGGUUCCUUGAAGCAUGCAUCCUCUUUCUGGCCGUGUUUUUCGCUUCAGCAUCUCAGAAGCAGCUGCCUUAAGAGGGAGUUUAUAAAUAUGCCUAUGAAACAAAACAAAUUCACACUGAGGGGGAGCAGUGUAGGAGAGGAGGGGUGCUGGAGACCCUGUAGGUGCGGGCAGGUGCAGUUUUGUUCCCUUUGCCAAGAUGGGGGGUUGCUCGA